AUUACCGUAGGCACCGCUCCACUGUCCCCAACCUUGCGCCAUGGCGAAGAGGCGGAGCGAAGCGGCGGGUCGCCGCCUUCUACCGUGCACCCCCAUCCGCAGGAAUAAAAAUCAUCUUCCGGUUCUAAGUGCUCGGCAUGGAUUCUCGGGGAUUUUUCCUUCGUCUUUUGCAGUGUUUCUUUUAAUCCCCACGGCUAGGUCUUGGGACCCAUUCUGGAUCGUCUUAUUAGACCUGAGCGUAGGCAUAGGUGAAAGUGAUUUUUCGGUUGGUACUUGAUGCUGGGGAGUUUAUCCUCUGGGAAUUUGGGAGGAACACUUGUGAUUUGCAGGUAGAUUUUACUUAGAGGUGACAGAUAUUUGGUUUUAGCUUGUGGCAGGAACAUUCAUAUUUGGUCUGCUGGCCAAUUUCAAAAUGUAUCUGCUCUUGCUGCCAUAAGACUUUUCCCUUCCAAAACUGCUUGAUGAAGGUCUGAUCCACUUUCGCAUACCGUUAUAUGUUAAGACAUGUUGGCUUUGCUUCUAGGCUUCAUUUACUGGGGGUUUCACUUUCACCAUGCUCUUGGCUCCAGCUUCUCUGACAAGUUGGAGGUAGUGAAAACAAUCCAACUUCUGACUCUAGAGGGAUCAUAUUAAGAUCGAUAUAAAACUUAUUUUCUAAUGCUGCCGCACUCUUGUUGCUGCUUCAAGUGUUCCAAAAGUUAGUACUGGAUUAGUUAGUCAAUGCUUGAGGCAAUAUUAUAUGAAGAUAUCUGCAUCUGGAUAAUGGAUCCAUUUGUCCAUGGGGUCAGGAAAUGCUAGUGGCAGUUAUAUAGAAGUGAGGUUAGAGUUUACGUCUCUAGCUUCUCCAUGCCGCAGAAUAUGGAGACAGAGAUUCAACAAAGCCGGGCACUGGUCAAGGCUGUUUAUUGAGACGCGGCAUAUACGAUUUCUGUCUUUGGAUAUUCAAAGAACUAUCCCCAAGUCAUGGUAGUAUGGUUACUGUAGGGUCCCUGGGUUCAACUGAUUGGUUGCAAGUUCAAACAAUAGGAAAAUGCUGGAUCAAGCAGUUUAUUGUUAAUAAUAUAAUACCCAGUAAUUUGCGGUGUCUGUUUUCCCCUUACCGAGUUACCGCUACGUUAUCCCCUGCUUUGGUGUUCUUCAGUCCUCUGAAUGAGUCAAAGUAUACCUGGAAUCCUUAACCUUGCCCUGAUUCCAGGAUCAAAGGAAGUUGCUCAUCGACUGGUUCUGGAGUUACAUUUCUGCAAAAAUGUCCCUAGCAAGCAUCAAGCGGUAUUGGCUGGAGAAAAAACAUCAGUUGACAAUGAAAAUGGGUCAAAGAAUACCUGGAACCGUUAAGCUUGCCCUGAUUACUGCACAUCCAACUGGGGUGCGAUUUGGCAGCCUCGGAAGGUUACCCGAAGGAGGAGGAGUUAGCUGCGACUGUGGAGGGAAGCUGGUGUGUGUGACAUCAUGCCAUUUGGUCGACUUGGAGCUGGAGGAGGGGCCAAUGGUGUGGCGUCAUGGCAAUAAUGCAUUAGAUUUAGCUACAGGUUAGUUAAUCCUGACCUGCGCUUGCUGCAUGAUUGGGAUUAGAUUUGAGGUGUCUAACUCCUCAACCACAAAGGUUGUUUAGCUUAGCAUUAGCAACGGUGCAUGGAACGCUCCAAACCUAUGGCGCCCAUGAAGGCUUUGUUUUAUGGGUUCAGAUAGAAUUGAGACUUUGUCAUCAACGCUCUGAAAUUUGAC